GGCUCAGUAAGUCGUAACAAGGUAACCUCUGGAUUAGCGGCGGACGGGUGAGUAACACGUGGGUAACCUGCCCAUAAGACUGGGAUAACUCCGGGAAACCGGGGCUAAUACCGGAUAACAUUUUGAACCGCAUGGUUCGAAAUUGAAAGGCGGCUUCGGCUGUCACUUAUGGAUGGACCCGCGUCGCAUUAGCUAGUUGGUGAGGUAACGGCUCACCAAGGCAACGAUGCGUAGCCGACCUGAGAGGGUGAUCGGCCACACUGGGACUGAGACACGGCCCAGACUCCUACGGGAGGCAGCAGUAGGGAAUCUUCCGCAAUGGACGAAAGUCUGACGGAGCAACGCCGCGUGAGUGAUGAAGGCUUUCGGGUCGUAAAACUCUGUUGGUAGGGAAGAACAAGUGGUAGUUGAAUAAGCUGGCACCUUGACGGUACCUAACCAGAAAGCCACGGCUAACUACGUGCCAGCAGCCGCGGUGAUACGUAGGUGUGAGGCGGUAUCCGAAAUUAUUGGGCGU
rnacentral:rRNA from 1 species